GAAUUGACGGUUACUGACAUCGACAAUCUCAUUCCAUUAGAGAAAUUUGGAGUGAGAAUAAAAUUUAGGCAACAGUUAUUUGCUUGGAAACGAGAUAAUGGAUAUGUUACACCGCUUGCAAGUACUGUUUCUGUGAGUGCAGAUCCAUCAUUUAAUGCAAUUGAAAAUUGGUUAAAUACAGUUCCUGUUGUUUUAGAUGAGGUAACAGGGUCCGAAAAUUGUGUUAAAUUGGACCUACUAAGCCUAAUGAAAAGUUCAGUUACUGGAAAAGUAACUAUCCAUAAUUAUAAUACGCAUAAAACAUUAUCUGUGAAUGAUAGAAAUACUGUCUCAACUUUAAUCGCUGAGUUUUGGUUAAACAACAAUAUUAAAGUGUCUCAUAAGGAAUAUGA